ACGGGUGAGUAAUAUAUCGGAACGUGCCCAAUCGUGGGGGAUAACGUAGAGAAAUUUACGCUAAUACCGCAUACGAUCUAAGGAUGAAAGCGGGGGAUCGCAAGACCUCGCGCGAUUGGAGCGGCUGAUAUCAGAUUAGGUUGUUGGUGAGGUAAAAGCUCACCAAGCCGACGAUCUGUAGCUGGUUUGAGAGAACGACCAGCCACACUGGGACUGAGACACGGCCCAAACUCCUACGGGAGGCAGCAGUGGGGAAUUUUGGACAAUGGGCGAAAGCCUGAUCCAGCAAUGCCGCGUGCAGGAAGAAGGCCUUCGGGUUGUAAACUGCUUUUGUACGGAACGAAACGGCUCUUUCUAAUAAAGAGGGCUAAUGACGGUACCGUAAGAAUAAGCACCGGCUAACUACGUGCCAGCAGCCGCGGUAAUACGUAGGGUGCGAGCGUUAAUCGGAAUUACUGGGCGUAAAGCGUGCGCAGGCGGUUAUAUAAGACAGUUGUGAAAUCCCCGGGCUCAACCUGGGAAUUGCAUCUGUGACUGUAUAGCUAGAGUACGGUAGAGGGGGAUGGAAUUCCGCGUGUAGCAGUGAAAUG
rnacentral:rRNA from 2 species